UGGCUUUUGUUCAUUUUCCUCAGAGCUUCUACAAUGUCAGUAAAAAUGAUAUCUACAACACCCCAUUGAGAACAUGUAUGAAGGUAAAAUUCAUCUAAUGCAUAUAUGAUAUAACUUUUUAUUUUUUGGUCAAGUACAUCCAUUGCAUACAAAUUCUUAAAUGUGGACAACAAAAAGUUUCUUGAUUUAAAUUUAUUUCUGCUGGAAAUAUCAUCAGAUAUGGUGGCAUGGUUUAGAUGGUCUGAUGGGACCACCUAUAACAGGCACUUGUUUUUACCUUAAAAGGGAAGCACUAUACAAAAAUUCUGCACAAGGAGGUACACUAUAUUAAGUUUGGCAAUUCAUUUCUAAACUCUAUCUUAGUUCCUUUCUCUGAAUGUUUUCACUAUAGUAUUUCAUCAAUUUUAAGGAUAACCAUUUCCAUUAACAUCUAAAAUGUGUAUGUAGAUAUCAACCUCUUUGACGGGGAAAGAAGAUUUGGUUGUUCCGAUGCAUUUAUUGCAUCAAUAUGCAGAAAACAUGUUGUCAUUGACAAGGAUGUUGCAUCAAACAAAGUGGUAGAGGAGGCUAGAGCCGUGGCUUCGAGCACCUAUGAAGAAAACACACAAUGGGGUAAACAGGUAAGUUCCAUGUAGACGAACCAUAUAGUCUCUGUAUGUCAAGACAUAAUAUGAAUCUCACUUUCAUCUUCUUUCAAAAGCAGAUCGGUUUUCUCUACCAAUCCGUGGUAGAAGAUUUGCUUACAGGGAUAUUUCUGAACUACAAAGGAUGGAAUUCUGUAUUCUAUGAUCCCUUAAGACCAGCUUUCUUGGGCACUGGCACAACAAACUUGAAUGACACUUUGGUUCAAAACAAAAGAUGGUACUCUGGAUUUCUCCAAAUCUGUUUUUCACAGUUCUUCCCUCUCACUUAUCGACCCUCUCGGGUGCCCAUUCUUCAAAUUAUGGCAUACUUAUACAUCUUACUUCUUCCUUUCAAUACUUUUCUUGUUCUAUGUCAUUCUACCAUUCCUCAACUAUGUCUAUUCAAUGGCAUCAAACUGUACCCUAAGGUAACACAUAAAGAUUGCUACACUCUUUGUUCUGACUAAGCUAUAAUUUGUUAAAGCCUAUGCUGCAUUAUUCACAUGGCUUAAAAUUUUCUUUUACAGGUUUCAGAUCUUUGGUUCGCAAUCUUCUUGGUUAUUUACCUUUCUUCGCUUAUUCAAACUCUAAUGGAGGUUCUCAUCACUGGUGGAUCGCUUAAGUUAUUCUGGAAUGAACAAAGACUUGCAUUUUUUAUUAGAAGUACAUCUAACUUGUUUGCAUGUUUUGGAUAUCUAAAAAAGUGUAUAGGCAUGAAGGAGAUUGAUUUCACCCUGACGAAUAAAAGUUCCAAAGAUGGAGAAAUGAUUAAAUACCAAAUGGAUGUAUACGACUUUGAAACAGACAGAAAAUUUCUACUCAUUUUGACCACAAUUGUAAGUCUAAACAUAACAUCUUUGGCUAUUGGAAUAAGAAGAGCCAUCAUGGAAGAAACAUAUAAUGAGUGGUUUGGGCAGAUCUUCCUGUCAUUGAUCAUAACAGUGCUCAACUACCCUUUGAUUGAAGGCAUGAUUAUUAGGAAGGACGAAGGACGAAUUCCUACCUCUAUCACACUCCUAUCUAUUUUACUCGUAAUUGUUUUAUAUCAAGCGCGAGUUCUGCUACUAUGAUUGUGUUGCAUUAGAAUGCUGUCUGAUUCUUACCAACAAUACAUAUGAAUCAAUUCAUUAGUCCAGCUACUCUAUUCUAUGUAAUAAUAAUUUGAGAUAUAUAUAUCAAAUGCAUCUUGGAUUCUUGUCUUCCUGCUUCCAAAUUUCAUAUACAUAUAUAUAAAGGCAUUAAUUACGUUACAUUGUAAAUAUAUACCGUAAUAGAAAACAUUAAUUACAAACUCACCAAACAAAGAGUGGUUUUUUUUUUUUUUAUUAUUAUUAUUGGCAAGCGAGGUUAAGGGACCUCUACCCUUUUAAAUUACGUGUAGAAACUUAUACCAACAAUCAGCUGUUGGUGUGUUUCGAACCCACGACCUCUCCACUUUGUGAGAGGGGUGCUACCAUUGAGCCACAGGCUCAUUCGCAAGUGGUCUAUGGUUGUUAGGUAGUUGCUGUUUUUCAUAAUUGGAGUAUUGGACCAUUCUUUAAUGGAUUAAUGAUGAUAAUAAACUCUUCCAGCUCGUUCUGCAAGUAACCUUUCUUCUUUCCCCUUUCACUCUCCUCCAACCAAUCCACUGACUCCAAUUCAACCCUUUAAUCAAAUUGGUCUCAUUCUCAAAUCUCAAUCUCAAUCGAUCGACCAAACCCACUGGUGACAUUAUCAGUAGACUUUUAUUCUGAUUGCCGACGUAAACAAGUGAUGUAUAGGCAUGAAUGAGAUUGAUUUUCAUUUCAUUUGGCACCAAUCUUCACUCCACCACCGCAAUCAACCUUCAAAUUUCGAAACCAAUCUUCAUCUCGCUCACUCGGCCCAUAUCAUAUGACAAAAAUCCUUUAAGGGACCCACAUGGAGUAUUCCUGUUCCUGAUUUCCUGUAAUAGUAAAAUUCUCUUUGGUCCGUCCAUUGAUGAAUCCUGUUCAUCUAUUCGUCAUCGGGAUCAUCACCAAUCCUCUAGAUCUUUAUUGGUUGUUUUUUCUGACGGUGAGGAGUUGACUAAUUAGCUAUUUUGGUCCCCUAACUUUGCUCAAAUUUUCAGUUGAGUCCUCAAAGUUUAAACUGCUCAAUUUGGUUCCAAAUCUUUCAAAACGUUUGCAAAAUGGUCUCAUCGUUACCAGGUCAGCACAACACGUGAGUGGCACGCGCAACAUCAUAUUGUUUAAAAAUAAAACAUAAACCCAAACUGGGUAAAAAUAGAACCCAUUUUGUAAAAAAGAAAAUUGUUAAAUGCUUGGUAACAUUUCGAAAGAUUUGGGACCAAAUUGAGCAGUUUAAACUUUGAGGACUCAACUGAAGACAAUCGAACUCGAUGAUCAAGAGGGAAAUAUGUUGAAGACAAUCGAACUCGAUGGGCUACCAAUGCGUCUGAUGGUUGUUGGAAAGUAUGAAGAUUAUACGGUGACUUUAAGGGAUGUAUUUGGGAACUCUGAAGGGUCGUUCUUCAAGCUUUAGUUAUUACUAAUUACUACAACCAUGUACAGGGUGUUUGGCAGCUCCUAGAAAAUUUGGUUUUUUACUAUGAAAAAAAUAAUAUUAGCAUGGAUGUGUCUACUUUUUUUACUUUUUUUGUAGCAAAACCACAAUCCAAAGCUAGUUAACCAAUCCAACACACCACUAUCGAAAUCAGAUCUAUUAGAUUUUUUCAGCUAAUACAUUAAAUAGUAAUAAUUCAUUAGAUGUAAUAAACACAUUAUUUUAGCAGAUAAGGUUGGCGUGGUGCGUUGUUCUAACCAAGCAAUGAUAAACAACCUAGCUAAAAAGUUAAGAAACUGAUCAAUAAAAAACAUCAAAAAAUCAAUAAAACGUGUCAAUUAAAGGUUGGGAAUUCAGUGCAGAACUACAACUGGUCAAACAAACCAAGCACAAGAAAAAAUGGAAACUAAUAAGCUCCCUCUUCGUGUUUCUCAACUUUAAACAACCACAAAGAACAAUCAAUAGAAUUCACACUGUUUUUCACUUCACUGCUUUACUAGCCUUACUCUACUACAUAGGUGAAAAUAUCGUUCUUGCCGGUCGGAUAUUCGCGAUAUUUUCCGUUUUUUCAGAGAUCGGCAUGGUACGGCAUACGACAUAUAUUCGGAUAUUAAAACACCCCAUGCCGGUCGGCAUUUAUCGGAUAUUCGCGGCAUAAAUCGGCAAAAAACGAUAUUUAUCGAAAUUUUGGAAAUUUUCGAUUUUAAAAUUAACACAUUUAUUUUUAAUCCCCCCGAACUAGAAUUUUCGAUGAGAUUAUCAAAAAAAUGUCCAAAAGACACUAGACGUUUGGAAACUUUCGCGACGAACUUGAUGGCCCUCCAAGAGCAAUAUAUCAGAAAGAAACGAAAAAAAAGCACGCCCAUGCCAAAAUGAAGUUCUCUCUCACUUUUGGCAAACCAGUAUACUGUUUGUAUCCAAGGUUUGUUUUUGUGUAAUGAAUAAUUGGUAUCGAAUUGGUUUUUCACACAUAAUUGGUUUGCUUUUGUGUAGGACCAGUGGGCCUUGCAAGUUACCUUUUUGUCUCCCCACUUUAAUAAUUCUUUUGAACAAUAAUGAAAACGACCUCGACAGAAAAGACCGCAUCCUAAAACGAAAACAGAAUCAUCUAGGGUAUCUUCCCAAGGUUCAUGGAACAUUCCUGACCAGUUUUCUUCCCAAGGUUCGUGGAACCUCCCUUAUUCUCAAACCAACAUCCAACCUACCUAUGUUUACCCUCAUUUUUCUUAUGGUAACAUAGGAACCUCCCAAAGUGAUGAUUCCAGUGUACCAUCCUACCAAACCCAACCAGAUGACAGUGGUUCUUGGUUUCCUAAUAUAGGGAGUUGGUUGGCCCCAAUGACAAGUGGGUCCGACGUGCAAUCAGCCGAUACAUUAAUGCCGGUUCAACAAUACUCGAGAUUUCCUAUAUUUGAAUCAUUUGCUCCGUAUUGUAUGGAUCAAGAUGCAUAUGAUAUGCAUAUUGACCAAUUCAGGUCGUACGAGCAAACAAUGUCAUGGGAAUAUUACUGUACUGAGUUCGUCCCCACACGUAUGCGACUCGAAGCUCAUCGGUUUGACAAGGGGCGUCUAUCAUUCUGGGGUUAGCAUGUCUUUUAUUUUGAUUAUUAAAAUAAAACUAUGGGUUGAGUUGUAAUAAGGUUGUUUGUGUUUAGUUCUUGUAUUGUAAACAUAUAAAAUUUCUAUGAAUAUCCGCCCGAUAUUUACGAUUUUUUCACCUAUGAGUAAAACUAUCUUGUGUAAUAGUUCCGUCUUAGCUUCCUUGUAUGAUUUGUCGUGUGUUUAAUUUGUAAUGUAUGUUUUUCUUUUAAUUAUAAGUUUAUAUAUCGAAAAAUUCAAAAAAACACGGAAAGUGCAGAAAACCUCCCAAUUUGCCGAAUUUUUCGCGAAUAUUCGCGAAUAUCCGCGAUAUUUUCCGGUUUUUUCGAAUUUGCCAAACCUCAAAAAUCCGACACAGGAGGUCGGAUAUCCGCGGUAUUUUCCGUUUUUUCACAGGUCGGAUAUCCGCCCUCAAACGAUAUUUUCACCUAUGCUCUACUACCGUUUUUCAUCACCUUUUUAUCAACAAUACAUCACUGCUGAUGGUUUUCUCCCCAGCUUCUCAUGGUCACUUAUCUCUUUUUCUGAACUUCUACACUCUUUCAUUUGGAUUCUUGGUCAACCUUCUCGAUGGAGGCCUAUAUCUCGGACAGUAUUCCUAGAAAGAUUACCGGAAGACGAAGAAUUACCUCCAAUAGAUGCACUGCAGAUCCAAACAAAGAACCAACUAUAGGAGUGUUGAACACAGUGAUAUCAGCUAUGUCUUUAGACUACCCUUCUGAAAAGCUCUUUGUGUAUGUGUCCGAUGAUGGGGGUGCACCUAUUACUUUGUUUGGUAUGAUAGAAGCUUAUAGUUUUGCUAAACAAGGGAUUCCUUUUUGUAAGAAAUAUGGAAUAAAAACAAGAGCUCCAGAUGCUCAUUUCUCGCAAUCAGAUCAUCAAAAGGAAAAUGGUUCAAUGAGUAAUGAAUUUGCUGAAAUUAAUUCGAAAGGAAAUGGAGGUGAGCUAACAUUUCGAUCUUAUCGCGUACUCUUACAGUGCAUCAUAAAAUUUAGUUACUUUUACUGUUUUACACGUCUAAUUAACAAGAUUCAAUCCAGGUUAGGUAUCAAGUGUUUAAGCAACGGGUGCAGAAAGCAAGAUCAAGUGGUGCUGCAAGCUUAUCUUCUGGUUCAGAUCGACCUCCUAUUAUCGACGUAAAUUAAGUUUAAUUUGGUGGUAUUGACAUGUUUACAGUAUAUUGAUUUAGGCAAAUUAGAUUUUGUGGACUUGCUGACCCUGAAUUCGAUUAUGGCAGGUCAUACAAAAUGAUGCAGUCGAUGGUGAAGUAAAAGAAAAUGAUCAAGCCAAGGUGGCUCUUCUAAUUUAUGUUUCGCGUGAAGAAAGACCAACUCAUCCACACCAUUUCAAACCAGGAGCUCUUAAUGCCCUUGUAUGUUUAAUUGUUUAUAUUUAUUCCUCUCCCUUCUAGUGUUCUACGACACAUUAUGAUGUACUGGUCACUUCGAUCAGCAUGACGUACUGGUAUUAAUUAACGACCAAUAACCUCUUGACGCAUGUCCUUGUUGCAGCUUCGUGUGUCAGGCAUAAUAAGCAAUUCUCCAUACAUGUUGGUCUUAGAUUGUGAUAUGAAUUGCAGUGACCCAACCUCUGCUAGACAAGCUAUGUGUUUCCACAUUGAUCCUGACAUCUCUCCCUCGUUGGCUUUUGUUCAAUUUCCUCAACUGUUCCAUAAUCUCAGUAAGAAUGACAUCUAUAAUGAUCUAUUGAGAACCGGAUGUGAGGUAUAUCUACGUUAAACGAGUCUUGUAUAGCUAAUUAACGUCUCAGAGUCGGGAUAAUCUAGGUUAUUAAAACUGUUCUGAUUAUAUUUGCAAUCGGACGUCGUUAUAUUUCAGGUGCAGUGGUAUGGUCUGGAUGGCCUACGGGGGCCACUUUUAUCUGGCACUGGCUUUUAUACGAAGAGAGAAGCUUUGUUUAGAAGUCCUACACAAAAAGGUUUAGCAAAAAACUUAGGGACGGGUUCCUUCUUCUACUGACUUAUGUAAAGUGUUUUUUUUUUUUUUUUUUUUGAUAAUUAAGUUUAACACCUUAUUAAAAUUAAAACUGUCAGAAACAAGUUACAAGAAGUUAACAUGGACAGUGAGAGAGACACUCACUCUCCUUGCAGGCCUAAUCAACUCUUUAUUGUGCAGAUCUAAGUCACAUUAGGAAUAGGCAAGAUGUCGGUUGUUCAAAUGACUUCAUCACAUCACUUCAUCCUGAUAACAAAGUUAAAGCAAUUAGCAAUAAUCAACAUGUAUCAAGCAGAUUGCUUGAAGAGGCCAGACUUCUGGCUUCUUGCACAUACGAGUAACAAACACAAUGGGGUGAACAGGUAAGUUAAUUUCCAAAUGAAUAAACAAACCAUCUCAUGUCAUUAUGACCCUAUCAGUAUUGUUCCAUCAAAAUUUUUAUAAGAAUGAGAAGUACGGACAAACUGAUUUAAGCUACAAGAUAAUAUUCAGCUCUCAUAUUAAAAAUGUGUUAGUAUCAUAAUAACUGAGCUGCAUAAGUGCUUCAGCUUAGGAUCUACAUAAAAAAUACGAAAUUCCAUCAGUAAUUACUUACUCUUUACCUAGUGUCUUACCUCUCUUUCUUUCUUAAUGGCGUUUUCUGAAAUAUCCAGACCUACAACAUAACGUUCAGGGCCAACAAUUGCAAUCACAUGAUGAUCUUGUUGGCUAUAAUAAGUAAGUACAAUAUAACGUGCAAACUAAUAAAACAUAAAAAUUAAACAAGUUUGUUGAACAGUUUUAAUUAGAGACCAAAUGUUGUUACAUGCGUGAAAACGCCACUUUCACUUAUAAAUGACCAUUGCAUCAAAAUGUCAUGUCAUCAGAUAAAAUUUUAACAUUUUGGAACAUGUACUCACAUGCUGAAACAAUAACAAACAUGUAAACACUUACAGUGUCACAUACUGGGAUUAGAACCCUGCCUUUUGGAAGAGGAAGAGCAGCUGGUUUGUAGAAGAUUUAAAAUAACAGGUGUUGGUCCUCGCAAAUCCCCAUAGUGUUCAGUGCUUUUUCCUAGCAUUAUUUGUCCCAGGCACCUAGUCAUUCAAACUUAAACAAAAUUCAGAAAUUCAAUAGUUGUAAUGGACAGAACGACUUAGAAAUUAAACACAAGUUUUCCUUUGAGCUUCCAAUGUAGUCAAUUAUGUUGAUGUAAAAAUCCAUUAAGGCCAUUAUGCUAUGCUUCUUGAAGCAGAUUUACAAACAUUCUACAAAUAAGUCAAAGUGUUGCAAGGUUUCUGUUACAUGUUCGAUAAUCUAAUUCUCACUGGUAUGAUUAUGUAUUCACAUUAUCACUUCAAAUUUUCAUCAUCAUCAUCAUCAUCAUCAUCAUACUCAAAUUAUCACAAAUAAGAUAUUGAAUUCCAUGGAAAUUGAAGAAUAUACAAUUAAAUUAAACAACAAUAAAAAGAAGAGUAGAGAUGAGAUGAGAUGAGAUAGUAAGGAGAGAGUGUCAGACCUGUUGAAUCAUUGUUAACGAAUUGGUUCAAGUUAGGUAGAUUUUAGUUGUUGUUGUUGUUCGAAAUCUUCUCUUGAUCUCUUCUCUUUCACUUUGUUUCCUCAUGCUCCUUCGUUCCAACCUAUUGCAAGUUGCAACAACAAAGAUUUUUCACUCUUGUUGUUGUUAAAUGUAAAUGAAGGAAACUGCAAUUGGAUUUGGAGAGCGAACGAACAAGAUUACAAGAGUGUUGCGCGCAAGCAAACAUUACCAUCGCUCGCUCUCGCUCUCGCUCUCGAGUCUCGUCAAACCUUGGAGGAAGAUUGCCUUGGACUGGGCACUGGACUUGCUGAAUUUCUCAACCUAAAGGCAACAAUCUUGCUGUCUAUU
rnacentral:lncRNA from 1 species